rfam:Triticum aestivum genome assembly, contig: Triticum_aestivum_CS42_TGACv1_scaffold_641178_T_3B-0.152522_6BS-0.102455
CAUGUACUCCCUCCGUCCCGAUAUUCUUGUCUUAAAUUUGUCUAGAUAUAGAUUUAUCUAGUCACGUUCUAGUGUUAGAUACAUCCGUAUCUAGACAAACCUAAGACAAGAAUUUUAGGACGGAGGGAGUAUGAU